GCCCGCGUGGCGCAAUGGUUAGCGCGUCAGACUUUUACUUUCCAAGGUUAUCUGAAUGUUGCGAGUUCGAAUCUCGCCGUGGGCG
rnacentral:tRNA from 1 species